UCCGCGUUAUCCGCGGCGGUUCCUCUAAAGUGCCCAACUGAAUGCUGGCAAUUAAAGGCGAGGGUUGCGCUCGUUGCGGGACUUAACCCAACAUCUCACGACACGAGCUGACGACAGCCAUGCAACACCUGUCACUGAUCCAACUAAAUGCUCCUCCCCUUUCAGGGAAGAUCUAUCAGGAUGUCAAGGCUUGGUAAGGUUCUUCGCGUAUCUUCGAAUUAAUGGACAUGCUCCACCACUUGUGCGGGUCCCCGUCAAUUCCUUUGAGUUUUAACCUUGCGGCCGUAAUCCCCAGGCGGCAUACUUACCGCGUUAGCUAAGCCACCGAGUUCUGUAGCGAACCCGACAGCGAGUAUGCAUCGUUUACGGCGUGGACUAC
rnacentral:misc_RNA from 1 species